CUCAGGUGUUUAGGUUCCGUAGAGAAGGGGAGUGACAUCAAGCCACAGGAAGAAUGGCCGCCAUUUGUGGAGCUGCUUCUUCAGGCCAGGCACGCUGCACGUUUUAUCUCACUUGAUCCCCACAAGGAUUGCUGUGAAGGAGGUAUUUGUAAUCCACAGAUAUUCACAUGAAGACACCGAGACUCACAGAAAUCAAGGUUUGCCCAAGACUGCAUAAUAGCACAUGGAGGAUCCACAAGUCAAGCUCAGUUCUAGCUUGUCAAAGCGGUACAUCAGAAAACUCAACUAUGACUCCACAACUCUUUCAAGAGUUUCCUUUUUGUUUUCCGAUGGUAAAGAGAGAGAGAGAGAAAAUAAGCUGUCAUUAUCAGAAUGAUCAAACGCAGAGAGAAAAGAGGCAGAGAUUUGGCUUCUGGCUCACUCUCUUUGUUUGGGUAGCUAGGCAUGAAAAAGAAUCAUCCGCAACCAGAGCUCAACUUAAUUCCCAAUUCCUCUCUGGAAACUAUCUGUUGGCAUCCUGAAGUGUUCUGUGUAAAAGGCCAUGCUUUGGCUGGUCAAAAGAGGAAUUUCAGACCCUCCAUCAGGGUCUUUGUGGAUAAAGCUAAUUCUUGGAAAUUGACAGAGGAGUCUGUACCUCUGGAAUAAUGUGUGUUGUCCCAGCAUCUCCCUGUUCUUGCCAAUGACAAACAGAAACCCUUGACAAUUUUUCCUCUCCCCUGGCAAAUGGGAUGAUGGCACAGCUGUUUUCUCUCUAUAAAAAGACAGUCACUCCUCUCCGUCCCUCUAGCCUAUAACAAAGGUCAACUUAGU